AGAGUUUGAUCAUGGCUCAGAUUGAACGCUGGCGGCAGGCCUAACACAUGCAAGUCGAACGGUAACAGGAAGCAGCUUGCUGCUUUGCUGACGAGUGGCGGACGGGUGAGUAAUGUCUGGGAAACUGCCUGAUGGAGGGGGAUAACUACUGGAAACGGUGGCUAAUACCGCAUAACGUCGCAAGACCAAAGAGGGGGACCUUCGGGCCUCUUGCCAUCAGAUGUGCCCAGAUGGGAUUAGCUUGUUGGUGAGGUAACGGCUCACCAAGGCGACGAUCCCUAGCUGGUCUGAGAGGAUGACCAGCCACACUGGAACUGAGACACGGUCCAGACUCCUACGGGAGGCAGCAGUGGGGAAUAUUGCACAAUGGGCGCAAGCCUGAUGCAGCCAUGCCGCGUGUAUGAAGAAGGCCUUCGGGUUGUAAAGUACUUUCAGCGGGGAGGAAGGUGUUGUGGUUAAUAACCACAGCAAUUGACGUUACCCGCAGAAGAAGCACCGGCUAACUCCGUGCCAGCAGCCGCGGUAAUACGGAGGGUGCAAGCGUUAAUCGGAAUUACUGGGCGUAAAGCGCACGCAGGCGGUCUGUCAAGUCGGAUGUGAAAUCCCCGGGCUCAACCUGGGAACUGCAUUCGAAACUGGCAGGCUUGAGUCUUGUAGAGGGGGGUAGAAUUCCAGGUGUAGCGGUGAAAUGCGUAGAGAUCUGGAGGAAUACCGGUGGCGAAGGCGGCCCCCUGGACAAAGACUGACGCUCAGGUGCGAAAGCGUGGGGAGCAAACAGGAUUAGAUACCCUGGUAGUCCACGCCGUAAACGAUGUCUACUUGGAGGUUGUGCCCUUGAGGCGUGGCUUCCGGAGCUAACGCGUUAAGUAGACCGCCUGGGGAGUACGGCCGCAAGGUUAAAACUCAAAUGAAUUGACGGGGGCCCGCACAAGCGGUGGAGCAUGUGGUUUAAUUCGAUGCAACGCGAAGAACCUUACCUGGUCUUGACAUCCACAGAAGAAUCCAGAGAUGGAUUUGUGCCUUCGGGAACUGUGAGACAGGUGCUGCAUGGCUGUCGUCAGCUCGUGUUGUGAAAUGUUGGGUUAAGUCCCGCAACGAGCGCAACCCUUAUCCUUUGUUGCCAGCGAUUAGGUCGGGAACUCAAAGGAGACUGCCAGUGAUAAACUGGAGGAAGGUGGGGAUGACGUCAAGUCAUCAUGGCCCUUACGACCAGGGCUACACACGUGCUACAAUGGCGCAUACAAAGAGAAGCGACCUCGCGAGAGCAAGCGGACCUCAUAAAGUGCGUCGUAGUCCGGAUUGGAGUCUGCAACUCGACUCCAUGAAGUCGGAAUCGCUAGUAAUCGUGGAUCAGAAUGCCACGGUGAAUACGUUCCCGGGCCUUGUACACACCGCCCGUCACACCAUGGGAGUGGGUUGCAAAAGAAGUAGGUAGCUUAACCUUCGGGAGGGCGCUUACCACUUUGUGAUUCAUGACUGGGGUGAAGUCGUAACAAGGUAACCGUAGGGGAACCUGCGGUUG
rnacentral:rRNA from 1 species